AUUGAACGCUGGCGGCAGGCCUAACACAUGCAAGUCGAACGAGUGGCGGACGGGUGAGUAAUGUCUGGGAAACUGGCUGAUGGAGGGGGAUAACUACUGGAAACGGUAGCUAAUAACGCAUACCAUCGGAUGUGCCCAGAUGGGAUUAGCUAGUAUGUGGGGUAACGGCUAACCUAGGCGACGAUCCCUAGCUGGUCUUAGAGGAUGACCAGCCACACGGGAACGGAGACACGGUCCAGACUCCUACGGUAGGCAGCAGUGGGGAAUAUUGCACAAGGGGCGCAAGCCGGAUGCAGCCAUGCCGCGUGUAUGAAGAAGGCCUUCGGGUUGUAAAGUACUUUCAGCGGGGAGGCGUUACGCGCAGAAGAAGCACCGGCUAACUCCGUGCCAGCAGCCGCGGUAAUUC
rnacentral:rRNA from 1 species